UCCCUCUCAAAUCCAGAGCAGCUCCACAUCCAAUCGCAAACCCUAGAACCUCCUUCAUCGCCGAUUCUCUCCGGUAAGAAUACAAUCAUCUCUUCGAAUCAAUCAAGAACAGUUGGAAGCUAGGGUUUUGUUCAGAAGAUUCAUCAAAUUUGCUAUCAAGUGAGUUCCAACUCAAAACGAGAUCUCAAUCAAUACAUCAAUCACAAUAAUGGUUGGAGGAUUAUUGAACAAGCUCGCUUCGAAAUCGCUCAAAGUCGCCGGAAAAUGGCAACAACAGCAGCUUCGUCGUCUUAAUAUUCAUGAAUAUCAGUUGUGAGAUACUGAAUGAUCCGAAAAGCUAUACAAACAACGUUCCCAAAUGAGAAGGAGUUGGUGGUGAAGAGCCAAAUCCUUGCUGGUGGAAGGGGCUUAGGGAAGUUCACAAGCGGUCUUCAAGGUGGAGUUCACAUUGUCAAAGUUGUUGUUAAGCAUCUUAUCAUAUAUAGUUUGAUUUUGUUUAAGUUUCAGAUUGCAGCAGAACAAGUGGUGAAAAAGAAAUCAUAUAUAGUUUUAUGAUUUUACUGGAGUUCCAUCUGUAGUUUACCUUACUUGUAUGUGAGAUGCUAUGAACAAGCUCGGCGGUGACUCUAAGACGAUCAAUAAGAUAGGGCAGGAGGAUAGAGUGCUUCGAACUCCAAUAAGAGUUAGUGAUGCUGCACCAAUGGCGUAUAUUGAGUUCAUAGACAGGGGAAAACAAGCUUAGACAAUUAAAACCUUCGGCUCCACAGCCAGCUCAAAGACCACCAUUGGAUCCUUGGCAAGAUCUCAGCUUAGCAGCUUAGCAGGAGUUUUACAUCUCUUAAAGAAGUCAAAAGCUCAGAAGCAUUGGAAUAAACCUUCUUGUCACUGAAAUCAUCUCUGAGAUAUUAAAGCCAUCAACAUUUUCUUCGCUGAGGAUCAAGCUUAUCUUAGCACCACGUUUGCUGGAACAUAGUUAUACAACCCUAUUAUGUCACCAAGGGGAAUUGUUUGAAAAGGCUGACAUACAGUUUCAGAGUUGUGGUUCUUAAGAUCAUUUGCUGCAGGAGCUACUAAUCUUACACUUUCAUCCGAAUUGCAAUAUCUCCUAGAUUAUGUCAGUCCAACGUCAUUUUACUUGGCAAGGACCUAAUCGACCCGCAUGCAGAUAAAACAUGAGUUUUGAUUAGCUAAGACAUAAGGGGCUGCUAAUGGCCAAAAUGAAAACGGGAAGAGUUUUCCAAGGAAUGAGAUAAGGUUACAUUGCAAGUGCUUCUAGGAGUGAUGUAUGUUGAGACAAAAAGUGUUGUUGUUGCAAGUGCUGCUAGGAUUGAUGCAAGUUUAUGUAUUUACAACUUAUGUAUGGAUUUUGGUUUAUUAUUGUUAAUAUUAUUAAUUUUGUUUUUUAG